GGUCAAUUGAAUUGUAAGUUAUUCCUCUGAAAUGGGAAGGAAGUGCGAAUUCUACACGUGUGGAAACCACCAGGGAUGCGAUAGCAAAUCGUAUUUUAGCUUCCCUAAAAACGAUGCAUUAUGUUCCUUGUGGGUGAUGGCAUGUAACUCACCGGAAGCAAAACAGAUGUAUAAAACGGGCGGAGUACAGGCGUUUCGGAAGAAAAUAGUCUGUUCUGACCAUUUCCCCUCAACUUCUUUUAAGGAUGCAACCAGAAAAAAUAAAGGAUUGGUGACUGAUGCUGUUCCGUAU